UGAGGAAUAUUGGUCAAUGGGCGGAAGCCUGAACCAGCCAAGUCGCGUGAGGGAAGACGGCCCUACGGGUUGUAAACCUCUUUUGCCGGGGAGCAGAGAGGUCCACGUGUGGAUCUUGGGAGAGUACCCGGAGAAAAAGCAUCGGCUAACUCCGUGCCAGCAGCCGCGGUAAUACGGAGGAUGCGAGCGUUAUCCGGAUUUAUUGGGUUUAAAGGGUGCGUAGGCGGCAUCGCAAGUCAGCGGUAAAAUUACGGGGCUCAACCCCGCCGAGCCGUUGAAACUGCGGAGCUUGAGUGGGCGAGAAGUAUGCGGAACGCGUGGUGUAGCGGUGAAAUGCAUAGAUAUCGCGCAGAACCCCGAUUGCGAAGGCAGCAUACCGGCGCCCGACUGACGCUGAAGCACGAAAGCGUGGGUAUCGGACAGGAUUAGAUACC
rnacentral:rRNA from 1 species